rnacentral:ncRNA from 1 species
GACGUGCAAAUCGUUCGUCUGACUUGGGGAUAGGGGCGAAAGACUAAUCGAACCUGCUAGUAGCUGGUUCCCUCCGAAGUUUCCCUCAGGAUAGCUGGAGCCCAUUACGAGUUCUAUCAGGUAAAGCCAAUGAUUAGAGGCAUUGGGGACGCAACGUCCUCGACCUAUUCUCAAACUUUAAAUAGGUAGGAUGGCUCGGC